GUGGGGAAUAUUGGACAAUGGGCGAAAGCCUGAUCCAGCCAUGCCGCGUGUGUGAAGAAGGUCUUCGGAUUGUAAAGCACUUUAAGUUGGGAGGAAGGGCAGUAAGUUAAUACCUUGCUGUUUUGACGUUACCAACAGAAUAAGCACCGGCUAACUUCGUGCCAGCAGCCGCGGUAAUACGAAGGGUGCAAGCGUUAAUCGGAAUUACUGGGCGUAAAGCGCGCGUAGGUGGUUCAGCAAGUUGGAGGUGAAAUCCCCGGGCUCAACCUGGGAACUGCCUCCAAAACUGCAUGACUAGAGUACGGUAGAGGGUAGUGGAAUUUCCUGUGUAGCGGUGAAAUGCGUAGAUAUAGGAAGGAACACCAGUGGCGAAGGCGACUACCUGGACUGAUACUGACACUGAGGUGCGAAAGCGUGGGGAGCAAACAGGAUUAGAAACCCCAGUAGUCC
rnacentral:rRNA from 1 species